GAGCGUAUAGCUCAGUGGUAGAGCGUGUGCUUAACAUGCAUGAGGUCCUGGGCUCAAUCCCCAGUCCCUCCA
rnacentral:tRNA from 1 species